rnacentral:rRNA from 1 species
GGAAAUUUGAGGGGACCUGCUCCUAGUACGAGAGGACCGGAGUGGACAGAUCUCUGGUGUACCGGUUGUCACGCCAGUGGCAUCGCCGGGUAGCUAUAUCUGGAAGAGAUAACCGCUGAAAGCAUCUAAGCGGGAAACUCGCCUCGAGAUGAGAUUUCCCUGGGGGUUUAACCCCCCUGAAGGGUCGUGGAAGACUACCACGUUGAUAGGUCAGGUGUGGAAGCGCAGUAAUGCGUUAAGCUAACUGAUACUAAUUGCCCGUGUGGCUUGACCCU